rnacentral:tRNA from 1 species
AGUCUUAUAUUCAAAUUAAUGAUAUAAAAUUGCAAAUUUUAUGGUGUAAAUAAUACUAAGGCUU